rnacentral:rRNA from 1 species
GUGGGGAAUUUUGGACAAUGGGCGCAAGCCUGAUCCAGCAAUGCCGCGUGCAGGAAGAAGGCCUUCGGGUUGUAAACUGCUUUUGUACGGAACGAAACGGUCCUGGUUAAUACCUGGGGCUAAUGACGGUACCGUAAGAAUAAGCACCGGCUAACUACGUGCCAGCAGCCGCGGUAAUACGUAGGGUGCGAGCGUUAAUCGGAAUUACUGGGCGUAAAGCGUGCGCAGGCGGUGCUGUAAGACAGGCGUGAAAUCCCCGGGCUCAACCUGGGAAUGGCGCUUGUGAAUGCAGUGCUGGAGUGCGGCAGAGGGGGAUGGAAUUCCGCGUGUAGCAGUGAAAUGCGUAGAUAUGCGGAGGAACACCGAUGGCGAAGGCAAUCCCCUGGGCCUGCACUGACGCUCAUGCACGAAAGCGUGGGGAGCAAACAGGAUUAGAAACCCGAGUAGUCC